GACGAACGCUGGCGGCGUGCCUAAUACAUGCAAGUAGGACGCACAGUUUAUACCGUAGCUUGCUACACCAUAGACUGUGAGUUGCGAACGGGUGAGUAACGCGUAGGUAACCUGCCUAUUAGAGGGGGAUAACUAUUGGAAACGAUAGCUAAUACCGCAUAACAGUAUGUAACACAUGUUAGAUGCUUGAAAGAUGCAAUUGCAUCGCUAGUAGAUGGACCUGCGUUGUAUUAGCUAGUAGGUAGGGUAAUGGCCUACCUAGGCGACGAUACAUAGCCGACCUGAGAGGGUGAUCGGCCACACUGGGACUGAGACACGGCCCAGACUCCUACGGGAGGCAGCAGUAGGGAAUCUUCGGCAAUGGGGGGAACCCUGACCGAGCAACGCCGCGUGAGUGAAGAAGGUUUUCGGAUCGUAAAGCUCUGUUGUUAAGGAAGAACGAGUGUGAGAAUGGAAAGUUCAUACUGUGACGGUACUAAACCAGAAA
rnacentral:rRNA from 1 species